AUUGAACGCUGGCGGCAGGCCUAACACAUGCAAGUCGAACGGUAACAGGAAGAAGCUUGCUUCUUUGCUGACGAGUGGCGGACGGGUGAGUAAUGUCUGGGAAACUGCCUGAUGGAGGGGGAUAACUACUGGAAACGGUAGCUAAUACCGCAUAACGUCGCAAGACCAAAGAGGGGGACCUUCGGGCCUCUUGCCAUCGGAUGUGCCCAGAUGGGAUUAGCUAGUAGGUGGGGUAAAGGCUCACCUAGGCGACGAUCCCUAGCUGGUCUGAGAGGAUGACCAGCCACACUGGAACUGAGACACGGUCCAGACUCUUACGGGAGGCAGCAGUGGGGAAUAUUGCACAAUGGGCGCAAGCCUGAUGCAGCCAUGCCGCGUGUAUGAAGAAGGCCUUCGGGUUGUAAAGUACUUUCAGCGGGGAGGAAGGGAGUAAAGUUAAUACCUUGACUCAUUGACGUUACCCGCAGAAGAAGCACCGGCUAACUCCGUG
rnacentral:rRNA from 1 species